GAAGAAUUAACUUAGAAGGAAACACACAUGUACAGGAAAGCAAUGAGUUGCAGAGUAAAAGUUUCGUAGAUGCAUAGAGUGUACUUUAAACAAGUUUACCACAGGCCCAAACUCCAGGGAUUCCACAAAGACAUGGUAAAGGCACAGAGAAAGGAAAUUUAUUAUGAAGCCCAAGACACACCAUAGGAAGCACUCAGCCCUUCUUCAGCCAUCAUCUUCAGGGUACAGACAUGAGCUGUGGCUGUAAAGUGAAUAUCUUACAAGGAACACAGAUAUAAAACUGGAAAAAGUAUGUUACUAUUAAGGAAUAAUAUAGCAGAAGAAAAGAAAGAAAUGUGAUUCCAAGAUGGCGGCUAGAAGGAGGAAGCAGAAAGCGUGCCUCCUACAAUGAAAUCUUGGAGAAACGCUGGA